AGUGAACGCUGGCGGUAGGCCUAACACAUGCAAGUCGAACGGCAGCACAGUAAGAGCUUGCCCUUACGGGUGGCGAGUGGCGGACGGGUGAGGAAUACAUCGGAAUCUACUUUUUCGGGGGGGAUAACGUAGGGAAACUUACGCUAAUACCGAAUACGACCUACGGGUGAAAGCAGGGGAUCUUGGGACCUUGCGCGAUUGAAUGAGCCGAUGUCGGAUUAGCUAGUUGGCGGGGUAAAGGCCCACCAAGGCGACGAUCCGUAGCUGGUCUGAGAGGAUGAUCAGCCACACUGGAACUGAGACACGGUCCAGACUCCUACGGGAGGCAGCAGUGGGGAAUAUUGGACAAUGGGCGCAAGCCUGAUCCAGCCAUACCGCGUGGGUGAAGAAGGCCUUCGGGUUGUAAAGCCCUGUUAUUGGGAAAGAAAAGCAGCAGGUUAAUACCCCGCUAUUCUGACGGUACCCAAAGAAUAAGCACCGGCUAACUUCGUG
rnacentral:rRNA from 1 species